rnacentral:tRNA from 1 species
GGAAGGGUGCCAGAAUUGGCUUAUUGGGACGGCCUCGAAAGCCGUUGGGUUAUGUUAGCCCUUGUGGGUUCGAAUCCCACCCCUUCCG